ACGCUCGACACCUACGGGAGGAGCAGUGGGGAAUAUUGCACAAUGGAGGAAACUCUGAUGCAGCGACGCCGCGUGAGGGAAGAAGGUCUUCGGAUUGUAAACCCCUGUUGUCAGGGACGAUGAUGACGGUACCUGACGAGGAAGCCACGGCUAACUACGUGCCAGCAGCCGCGGUAAUCUGAGCGGGCUGGCAAGGC
rnacentral:rRNA from 1 species